CUCAAGUCAAUUGCAUUUAAUUUUUUUCCUUAACAAUCUUUUGGAAGACUUGUUUAAACAGUCCUUUACAGUCCUAGUGCAUUGGCAACGCAAAAGCCCUCCAUCUUUAAAUACCCCUCCAAAGCAGGACUUAUACUAUAGGGUCAACAGCAGAAAAUAACUGAACACCAGACAAGUUAAGAUUCUGCUUCACGCUAUCCAUUUCAACAAGACACCUAGCAAGGCAAGAGGUUCUUGGAUUAUCUAUGGAUUCCCCUGACUGGCCUCUGUGAUUUGGUUAUAUCACAAAUGGAUUUUUGGAUAUAACAAUGGAUAUACCAAUGGAUAAUGGAUAUAUCACAUAUACAGAAAAGACUCCUCUGUUAACCUCUGGGAUUCCCUAACUGAAAACAAAUGUUGUCGCUUGCUGACCUCACAGAUCUGAUCUCAAGUCCAGCGAUUAAGUGCUACUUCUUCCCAUAAACAACAAUGACAGAGCACGAAGAGAGGGUGAGGCGACAAAGGUCCUCACCACUGCUGACCACUGUCUCCUUCAGACAGGUCAACUUUGCACUUGAACAAAAUGUGCUCAAUGACACUGGCUCUGUUCCUGUGGGGAAAGCGCUCCCCUCCCCCCACAUCCCCAUGACAAUUUGCUAAAAUUGUUCACAGCCAUCAGCCCUCUCUCAGACUUCAGGCUGCAGCGAGGAGAAAGGCAAUUGGCUCCUGAGCCCAGAACACAUCUCUAUUGGAUGCUGACUGCAGCAGCAUAGGCAGUAAGG